rnacentral:rRNA from 1 species
AUUGAACGCUGGCGGCAGGCCUAACACAUGCAAGUCGAGCGGAGCGGCGGACGGGUGAGUAAUGCCUAGGAAUCUGCCUGGUAGUGGGGGAUAACGUCCGGAAACGGGCGCUAAUACCGCAUACUAUCAGAUGAGCCUAGGUCGGAUUAGCUAGUUGGUGGGGUAAAGGCCGACCAAGGCGACGAUCCGUAACUGGUCUGAGAGGAUGAUCAGUCACACUGGAGCAGAGACCAGGGCCAGGCUCCUACGGGAGGCAGCGGUGGGUGUUAUUGGGCAAGGGGCGGAAGCCUGAUGCGGCGAAGCCCCGUAUGUGGAGAAGGGCUUCGGGGUAGAAAGCACGGUAGGUUGGGGUGCGUUACCAACAGAGUAGGCACCGGCUAAAUUCGUGCCAGCAGCCGCGGUAAUUC